CGGAUAUAUACCUUUCCGCGAACGAACGAAACGAGCAUCGCAUCCGAACCCGAUGCCCAUUUCCAUUCUGCUCUCGCCGCCUACUUGCGUCGCCACUUUGCGACCAUUUCCAAAGCGCCACCUCUGUUACUCCCCCGUAGCCUGGCCUCCUGUGAUCUGUAGCACUCACUACUGACUCUAUAGUGGUAGUAGUAAUUAUUACCACUACACUAGUACUAAUCGCUGCUCCUAAGCACGUACUAGUACGAGUAGGCGCUAAACCGGCAGCUUGCUUAGCUUUGCCUUUCAGCCCCCCCUUGGCCUUGGUGAUCAUUGAGUAGUAUAAUUAUUAGACUAGUGACAGCGUCAUGAUACUACUGCUAACCUGUGUGCCCUUAUGAUUUCUGGCUGGGCUGUGUGGAUGGAGAGACGAGUAACCAUCUAUGCAGCAUCAUUGCUACCACUCCGCUAGCAGGUGUAUCCAUCCAUCUAUCUACCUAUCACCGGUGAUUUUGCUUUGUUUCUUUCUAACUCAAGUAAUCAUCAGGUCAGCCAACAAACAAUUUACUACAAGCGCACAGAU
rnacentral:lncRNA from 7 species